UUGACAUAUACCGGAAGACGGUGAGAGAUCACGUUGUCCCUUGUGGACUGGUAUACAGGUGCUGCAUGGCUGUCGUCAGCUCGUGCUGUGAAGUGUUGGGUUAAGUCCCGCAACGAGCGCAACCCUGCUUCUAGUUACCAGCACGUAAUGGUGGGACUCUAGAGAGACUGCCGGUGACAAACCGGAGGAAGGUGGGGAUGACGUCAAGUCAUCAUGGCCCUUAUGUCCUGGGCUACACACGUGCUACAAUGGCCGGUACAGAGCGCAGCGAUACCGCGAGGUGGAGCAAAUCGCAGAAAGCCGGUCUCAGUACGGAUUGGAGUCUGAAACCCGACUUCAUGAAGGUGGAAUCGCUAGUAAUCGCGCAUCAGCAUGGCGCGGUGAAUACGUUCCCGGGCCUU
rnacentral:rRNA from 1 species